rfam:Felis catus isolate Cinnamon breed Abyssinian chromosome C1, whole genome shotgun sequence.
GCCCGGAUGGCUCAGUCAGUUGAGCAUCCGACUUCAGCUCAGGUCAUGCUCUCACAGCUCGUGAGUUCGAGCCCCACAUCGGGCU